AACGAACGCUGGCGGCGUGGAUAAGACAUGCAAGUCGAGCGAUCAUCAUGGGGUAGCAAUAUUCGAUGGUGGGAGCGGCGCAAGGGUGCGUAACACGUGGGCAAUCUGCCAUGAAGUUUGGGAUAAUCCCGCGAAAGCGGGACUAAUACCGGAUGUGGACCUUGGGGAGGCAUCUUCUGGGGGUUUUAAAGUUGGGGGACCGCAAGGCCUGACGCUUCAUGAUGAGCCCGCGGCCUAUCAGCUAGUUGGUGAGGUAACGGCUCACCAAGGCGAAGACGGGUAGCUGGUCUGAGAGGACGACCAGCCACACUGGAACUGAGACACGGUCCAGACACCUACGGGAGGCUG
rnacentral:rRNA from 1 species